AAACUACUCCCUCCGUUCGGAAUUACUUGUCGUAGAAAUGGAUGUAUCUAGACAUUUUUUAGUCUUAGAUACAUCAACUUCUGCGACAAGUAAUUCGGAACGGAGGGAGUAAUAA
rfam:Triticum aestivum genome assembly, contig: Triticum_aestivum_CS42_TGACv1_scaffold_290695_4AL